rnacentral:rRNA from 1 species
UGAGGAAUAUUGGUCAAUGGGCGCGAGCCUGAACCAGCCAAGUAGCGUGCAGGAUGACGGCCCUAUGGGUUGUAAACUGCUUUUGUAUGGGGAUAAAGUCAAUCACGUGUGAUUGUUUGCAGGUACCAUACGAAUAAGGACCGGCUAAUUCCGUGCCAGCAGCCGCGGUAAUACGGAAGGUCCGGGCGUUAUCCGGAUUUAUUGGGUUUAAAGGGAGCGUAGGCCGGAGAUUAAGUGUGUUGUGAAAUGUAGACGCUCAACGUCUGACUUGCAGCGCAUACUGGUUUCCUUGAGUACGCACAACGUUGGCGGAAUUCGUCGUGUAGCGGUGAAAUGCUUAGAUAUGACGAAGAACUCCGAUUGCGAAGGCAGCUGACGGGAGCGCAACUGACGCUUAAGCUCGAAGGUGCGGGUAUCGAACAGGAUUAGAUACCCUGGUAGUCCGCACAGUAACGAUGGAUGCCCGCUGUUGGUACCUGGUAUCAGCGGCUAAGCGAAAGCAUUAAGCAUCCCACCUGGGGAGUACGCCGGNNCGGU